CUUUUCCAACUUUGCACCCUUAGACCUGUCUUUGAGCUCCUCAUCGUCUCCUCCUUAUUUUAUUUAGAUGUGUUCCUUAAGUUGGAUCAUAUUGAAGCUCAUCCAUCCGCCUGUCUUGAUCUUCUAUUCUCGCUACUGGCUCCCUCUAACUUUCAGCAAAGCUUUUAAGGAUAUUUUGAAGACUUUCUAAGUUGGUCUAACUUUCUUCUACU
rnacentral:lncRNA from 1 species